rnacentral:lncRNA from 1 species
GGGCCACGGACAGUUCUUCCAUGAUCCCCCUCAAGGAGCGGAGCUCGUCGGAGCCUUGAACUGAAAUGGCCUAGGCUCUCUCGGACAACUGCUUCUGAAGGCGAGCAACCUCAUCGGUCACCGUCUUGAGCCUCCUUCUGUAGUCAUCUACUUGCCCACACCAGCCGACUUGAUAGGCAUUGUAAUUCGCCUCGACGUUCGGUAGCUAUUUCUGAAGGUCGGAGAAUUUCUUCGAU